rnacentral:sRNA from 1 species
ACAGAUAAUGAGAAAUUGGUGAAAAUGCCUACGCCAAGUGUUGACAGUGUGAAAGUAGCAGUGCGAGUGCGGCCUUUUAGUCAGAGAGAGAAGAAUUCUGGGAGCAAAUGUGUGAUUUCCAUGCAUUCUGGAACUACCACCACUACACAGGACCCUAAGAAUCCAGAGCAUGUGAAGACAUUUACUUUUGACCUGGCAUAUUGGUCUCACAAUGGAUUUCAAAGGGAUAAGGAUGGUGUCCUUAUUUCAGCUGAUCCUAGUCAUAAAUUUGCAGGCCAGAGAGACGUCUUCCAUGACCUUGGCAGGGGAGUUCUGGACAGUGCUUGGCAAGGCUAUAAUGCAACUCUCCUAGCCUAUGGCCAAACUGGCUCUGGGAAAAGCUAUUCCAUGAUUGGGUUUGGUGCAAACAGGGUAUAAUUCCAACUGUGUGUGAGGAGCUCUUUCAAGCAAUUGAGAACCAGGGGAGAAAUCAAGAACACCAGGUUAUAUUCAGUAUGCUAGAAAUUUACAAUGAACAGAUAAGAGAUUUACUGUCCAGAACCAAAAAACCUGGUGGGCUUAGAGUAAGGGAAGAUCAACAGCUGGGAUUUUACGUGGAAGGCCUGAAGUCGGUGCCCUGUGAGAACUAUGCCCAAAUUGAAAGGCUGAUGGAACAAGGAACAAAAAUAAGGACCACAGCUUCCACCAACAUGAAUGCCGCCAGCAGCAGCUGGUCUCACUUGGUCAUCACCAUCCAGUUCAAGCAGGUUUUCCUAGACAGAGAUCUCACCAAACAAUCCAGUAUUAAUUUGGUGGACCUGGCAGGAAGUGAGAGGCAGAAAUCUUCAGGAUCUGAAGGAGACAGACUGAGGGAAGGAUCACGCGUUAACUUAAGUUUAACCAAUUUGGGAAGUGUUAUCAGUGUUCUGGCUGACGCAGCUAUGGGGAAGAAGGUCUUGCACAUUCCAUACAGAGAUUCUGUUCUGACCAAACUGCUCCAGUCAGCUCUGGGUGGGAACAGCAGAACCGCUUUGAUCGCAGCCGUAAGUCCAGCUGACAUCUGCUAUGAGGAAACUCUAUCAACAUUAAGAUAUGCGGAAAGGGCUUAAAAGAUCCGGAACAAAGCAGUGGUCAACACCUGGACACUGAUGAGAAAGUCAAGGGCGGAGAACAGCAAGCUGCUGCCCUGAUGCAGAGCCGUCGGCCUGUCUCCAAGCAGAGCAGCAGCUGGGGACUCCUGAUCAGGUGACCUGGGCACACCUGCUGGAGAAGGCCCAGGAGCGGCAGAUGAUGACCUUCCCUCACCUUCUUAACGUCAACGAGGACCCUCAGCUCACCAGGGUGCUCAAGUACUUCAUUCAAGCUGGUUCAUGUGACGCUGGUCGGGCUGCCUCAAAUGCUAUCACGAUUCAAGGUUUGGGAAUUUCAGAUAAACACGCUUCCUUCACAAAUGCCGACGGUAAAGUGAUGGUCACUCCACACAGCAAAUGCAAGGUUGCCGUUAAUGGGGUGCCCAUCACCACCAGGACAAAGCUGCAGCAUUUGGACCGCCUGAUUUUGGGAUCCAACAGCACCUACCUGUACGUGGGGUUUCCUUCGGAGUGGGGCAGUGAGGACCUGAGCAGGUUCGAUUACGACUUCUUCCAGCUGGAGAGGGCGGCUGCGGAGGGAGCGAGUGCAGACAAACUCGGUGCUGCGGACGGUGGAGACGGCAAGGCAGGCCCCAGUGUCCUGGCUGCAUUCCAGGACUACAUCAAACUGAUGCCGCUGGUUCAGAAGCAAAUCAAAUGAGUGAAGAGCUGAAGAAGGGACUUAACAUGGAAUUGAAGGUGAAAAAUUUGGCAUCGUCAGAUUCCAGGGGCUAUGACCUACAGAAGGAGGUCUUGGUGAAGGUGACCCACCACGGGUCUCACGAGGUGUGGAUAUGGUCAAAAGCCAAGUUCAUCAAUAGGAAAUUCCUAAUGCAGGAACUUUACCAGCGCUUUCUAGAUGGAGAUCACGGCCCUGUGGCUCGAGAAGACGACCCUUUCUGGGAUCCUGUCGAGGUCGUCUGUUUGGGCUCAGCUCACAUCUGGCUCCAGUCGCUGGCCUACUGCAUGAAGCUGGAGGAGCAAGUGGAGUUUCUGAACUGUGACAGGCUGGAGGAGGCGGUGCUGCAUACCUGCAUAGCACCCUGCUCCCCAACAGGACAAACGCAUGGCGAGGAGGAUGUGGUUAUCGACCCUUUGGAGCUGCUGGGCAAGAGGAUGGAUUUUCAGAUUCACAUUGUCCGGUGCCUUGGCGUCAACUGGAUGAAGGAAGAUGCAAAGCGGGGCAUUCAGAUAGGGUACAGAAUUUAUGACCUUCCAAACACUAUUUAUACCAAACCUGUAUGGAAAAGUGUGAAUCCACAAAUUGAAGAGACUGUCCAAUUUGCAGCCUUAACUGCAUCUCAGGAGUUUCUGAAUUAUUUGCGGACAAAUGCCCUUAUUGUUGACCUAUGGGGCCUUCAAGAAGGCUGCACCGAGCUGAGCUGCUCUCAGCUGGGCCUCAGGGUCACAGGUGAAGGCCACAUCCUGGUAGACACCAAGAAAAUUUCCACUGUGAAGGAUAUAAGCCAAGCAGCAUCAAACCAGAUACCAGAACUUUAUCUGAAGCUGCUCAAGCUAGAGCAGGAGACAGAACUGCUCAGGAACAUUAACAGAACCCUGAGAGAGCAGAACGUGCUUCUCAAAGCAUCACUUGCAAAAAUUGCUUCUGGUCAAGCCCUGAAGCCUUCCAACACUCUGAAGAUCGGCGGGAUGACUGUGCAACUGCCAUCCGCCAGGGAGAUGAGCCAAAUGUGCACACAGCAAGCCGGCUCUGACCGAGAGCUUGCCAAGGCUCUGAAGGUGUUCUACCAAAGCAUGAACACGGCAAGAGGGCAGCUUUUCAGACUCAGACGGCACCAACCUCCG